CAGGUAUGACAUAGUCACCAGGUAAGCCUAUCAGGGAUGACAUAGUCACCAGGUAAGCCUAUCAGAGAUGACAUAGUCACCAAGUAAGCCUAUUAGGGAUGUCAUAGUCACCAGGUAAGCCAAUUAGGGAUGACAUAAUGACCAGGUAUGCCUAUCAGGGAUGACAUAGUGUCCAGGUAUGCCUAUCAGGGAUGACAUAGUCACCAGGUAUGCCUAUCAGGGAUGACAUAGUCACCAGGUAUGCCUAUCAGGUAUGACAUAAUGACCAGGUAUGCCUAUCAGGGAUGACAUAGUGACCAGGUAUGCCUAUCAGGGAUAACAUAGUGACCAGGUAUGACAAUGACCAGGUAUGCCUAUCAGGGAUGACAUAGUGACCAGGUAUGACUUGGUCACCAGGUAAGCCUAUCAGGGAUGACAUGGUCACCAGGUAAGCCUAUCAGGGAUGACAUAGUCACCAGGUAAGCCUAUCAGGGAUGACAUAGUCACCAGGUAAGCCUAUCAGGGAUGACAUAGUCACCAGGUAAGCCUAUCAGAGAUGACAUAGUCACCAAGUAAGCCUAUUAGGGAUGUCAUAGUCACCAGGUAAGCCAAUUAGGGAUGACAUUGUCACAGGUAAUGCC
ensembl:lncRNA